rnacentral:snoRNA from 1 species
CCCUGUAUCGAAAGGUGAUCAUGGCGUCCUCGUCGCUCGGUCAUUAUUUUACUACAGAAAGAGGAAAUCGCGAGCCUUUCCCUGUGUUUGCAGGACAUCACUUCCUGUUAAACCCUGGUGCUCGCACACA